GACGAACGCUGGCGGCGUGCCUAACACAUGCAAGUCGAACGGGGUAAUGACUUCGGUUAUUACUUAGUGGCGAACGGGUGAGUAACGCGUGAGAAACCUGCCUUUCAGUGGGGGACAACAGUUGGAAGCGACUGCUAAUACCGCAUAAUGUAUCGAUGGGGCAUCCUGUUGAUACCAAAGCUUUAUGUGCUGAAAGAUGGUCUCGCGUCUGAUUAGCUAGUUGGUGAGGUAACGGCUCACCAAGCCGACGAUCAGUAGGGGUUCUGAGAGGUUGAACGGCCACAUUGGGACUGAGAUACGGCCCAGACUCCUACGGGAGGCAGCAGUGGGGAAUAUUGGGCAAUGGGGGAAACCCUGACCCAGCAACGCCGCGUGAAGGAAGAAGGCUUUCGGGUUGUAAACUUCUUUUACCAGGGACGAAGACGUGACGGUACCUGGAGAAAAAGCCAACGGCUAACUACGUG
rnacentral:rRNA from 1 species